rfam:Camelus ferus unplaced genomic scaffold scaffold569, whole genome shotgun sequence.
GAGGGUAUAACUCAGUGGUAGAGUGAGUACUUAGCAUGCACAAGGUCUUGGGUUCAAUCCCUGGUACCUCCA